rnacentral:piRNA from 1 species
UGCCCUGAGAAGAUACGUCACAAAAGCCU